rnacentral:rRNA from 1 species
GACGAACGCUGGCGGCGUGCUUAACACAUGCAAGUCGAACGAUGAAGCCCAGCUUGCUGGGUGGAUUAGUGGCGAACGGGUGAGUAACACGUGAGUAACCUGCCCUGGACUCUGGGAUAAGCGUUGGAAACGACGUCUAAUACCGGAUAGGACCUUUGACCGCAUGGUUGGGGGUGGAAAGUUUUUUCGGUCUGGGAUGGACUCGCGGCCUAUCAGCUUGUUGGUGAGGUAAUGGCUCACCAAGGCGUCGACGGGUAGCCGGCCUGAGAGGGUGACCGGCCACACUGGGACUGAGACACGGCCCAGACUCCUACGGGAGGCAGCAGUGGGGAAUAUUGCACAAUGGGCGAAAGCCUGAUGCAGCAACGCCGCGUGCGGGAUGACGGCCUUCGGGUUGUAAACCGCUUUUAGUAAGGAAGAAGGGGAGCUUGCUCCUUGACGGUACUUGCAGAAAAAGGACCGGCUAACUACGUGCCAGCCGCCGCCGUAACAC